AGCAGCAGGCGCGCAAAUUACCCACUCCCGGCACGGGGAGGUAGUGACGAAAAAUAACGAUACGGGACUCAUCCGAGGCCCCGUAAUCGGAAUGAGAACACUUUAAACCCUUUAACGAGUAUCCAUUGGAGGGCAAGUCUGGUGCCAGCAGCCGCGGUAAUUCCAGCUCCAAUAGCGUAUAUUAAAGUUGUUGCGGUUAAAAAGCUCGUAGUUGGAUCUGUGUCCCGCGCUGUCGGUUCACCGUUCGUCGGUGUUUAACUGGCAUGACCGUGUGGACGUCCUGCCGGUGGAUGCGGUCGGCCGCGGGCCUCCGGGUUCCGCGCGUCGGCGGUCCGAUUCAAUCCUACCGCGGUGCUCUUGACCGAGUGUCGAGGUGGGCCGGCACGUUUACUUUGAACAAAUUAGAGUGCUCAAAGCAGGCAGUGGUUCGCCUGAAUAUUGUGUGCAUGGAAUAAUGGAAUAGGACCUCGGUUCUAUUUUGUUGGUUUUCGGAACUUGAGGUAAUGAUUAAUAGGGACAAACGGAGGCAUCCGUAUUGCGACGUUAGAGGUGAAAUUCUUGGAUCGUCGCAAGACGAACUUAAGCGAAAGCAUUUGCCGAGCGUGUUUUCACUAAUCAAGAACGAAAGUUAGAGGUUCGAAGGCGAUCAGAUACCGCCCUAGUUCUAACCAUAAACGAUGCCAGCCAGCGAUCCGUCGAAGUUCCUCCGAUGACUCGGCGGGCAGCUUCCGGGAAACCAAAGCUUUUGGGUUCCGGGGGAAGUAUGGUUGCAAAGCUGAAACUUAAAGGAAUUGACGGAAGGGCACCACCAGGAGUGGAGCCUGCGGCUUAAUUUGACUCAACACGGGAAACCUCACCAGGCCCGGACACCGGAAGGAUUGACAGAUUGAGAGCUCUUUCUUGAUUCGGUGGGUGGUGGUGCAUGGCCGUUCUUAGUUGNUGGAGCGAUUGUCUG
rnacentral:rRNA from 1 species